rnacentral:rRNA from 1 species
GACGAACGCUGGCGGCGUGCCUAAUACAUGCAAGUCGAACGCAGUGGGGACGGGUGAGUAACACGUGGGUAACCUCCCAUCAGAGGGGAUAACACUUGGAAACAGGUGCUAAACCGAUACUGAUGGAUGGACCCGCGGUGCAUUAGCUAGUGGGUGAGGUAACGGCGCACCAAGGCCACGAUGCAUAGCCGGGCCUGGAGGGUUGUAGGGCCACCUGGGACUGGGACACGGCCCAGACUACUACGGGAUGGCGGAGGAGGGAAUCUUCGGCAAUGGACGAAAGUCUGACCGAGCAACGCCGCGUGAGUGAAGAAGGUUUUCGGAUCGUAAAGCUCUGUUGGUAGAGAAGCGGUAUCUAACCAGAAAGCCACGGCUAACUACGUGCCAGCAGCCGCGGUAAUUC